UCAGUUCUCCUCGCCUCGUCACCUACCUUCCCUUAUCCCUUCACUGUCUCCCCACUGCUCCCUAUUCCAUGGUGGCCACAAGCCCACAACUCUCUCUCUCUCUCUCUCCUCAAGCCGCCCCUCCUCUUCGUCCCCACCGCCGGCGCGAGGUCUCGCACUCUUCCCACUCUUCUCAGCCCCUCCUCAUCGAAUCGGUCGCCAAAGUGCCCGAGGAUCCGCUCAAGCUUGGUCUGGUUGCUGGGCGCCGGACGAAGGCUGACGCGGAGGCGCGGGAAUUGCCUCCACCAGAUCGGUGGCUGUGGCAAUCAUGUGUCGCAACCUCCGCGCCUGGUGCCUUCCUUUCCAUCUCGCUCGUCGGCGGCUCCCACCACCCUGUGCGUGCGACUGCGCUGCGCCCUGUAAUGCCCAUGUGCGGCAGCUGUGCCUCGGUGGAUGGUCCCCUGCAAGUGCAAGCCGGUGCCGGCUUACAAGAAAUGGAUAUUGAAGACCAUCUAAGAGUCAGGGAAUUUGUUCGAUCCUAAAUUUUUGGGACUCUGAAAUAAACACAAAGAUGGGAAUGGGGAGGCAUACCUGCCUGCCAUAUACAUCAACCCGAAGCUUUUGAGCUUUGUACAGAACAAGUAAUUGACAGGCAGGUGCGUUGCCUGAAGAGUUCGUCGGCGCCGAUGUCGGCGCCUGUGGAAGGCGGCGAUGGCCAACAGUGGCUGGGCGGCGAGGGCACAACAGUGGCUUGGCGGCACCGACGUCUGACUGUAGUGUGCAUCUAAACGGCGACAUCAAAGAAGACAUCGAGAUUAACUGGGAUGGAACUGGCCACGUAUUGCGCACAAGAGGAUAGUCUGCACCUGCAUUGGCGAGAAGCGCGUCGUUGCGGGCGUCGUCCACUACGCAUGGCGGCGAUGGCGCAGGACAGGCUGGGCGGCUGCGACGUACGUCCGGGUGGGCAAAGGCUGGUAGAUCGAGCUGAUUCCCGUAAGUUUAGACAUUUAUUGUGAGGCAGACGUGUUAAUUCCCAUUAAUUGUGGCUAAUUUUCUGUAGUUGAUUGGACGCGAACGCAAAGGGUGGAACUGUUUUUUUUCCAGGGGAGGUGCAACCGUUUGAUCGAUGGCAGAGUUUCGUCCGCUAAUGUAAAUCGCUAAACGUACACAGGGGAGGUCUGACUUUUAUGUGGACGGUUAGAUGCCUGAUUCUGGGGAUGGUAAUUUGUCUUGUUUGGCCUGUGUACGUUUAACCGGGUGGGCAUAGUGAAGAAUA